AUUGAACGCUGGCGGCAGGCCUAACACAUGCAAGUCGAGCGGAUGAAGGGAGCUUGCUCCUGGAUUCAGCGGCGGACGGGUGAGUAAUGCCUAGGAAUCUGCCUGGUAGUGGGGGAUAACGUCCGGAAACGGGCGCUAAUACCGCAUACGUCCUGAGGGAGAAAGUGGGGGAUCUUCGGACCUCACGCUAUCAGAUGAGCCUAGGUCGGAUUAGCUAGUUGGUGGGGUAAAGGCCUACCAAGGCGACGAUCCGUAACUGGUCUGAGAGGAUGAUCAGUCACACGGGAACUGAGACACGGUCCAGACUCCUACGGGAGGCAGCAGUGGGGAAUAUUGGACAAUGGGCGAAAGCCUGAUCCAGCCAUGCCGCGUGUGUGAAGAAGGGCUUCGGAUUGUAAAGCACUUUAAGUUGGGAGGAAGGGCAGUAAGUUAAUACCUUGCUGUUUUGACGUUACCAACAGAAUAAGCACCGGCUAACUUCGUG
rnacentral:rRNA from 1 species